rnacentral:rRNA from 1 species
UACAGAGGGUGCGAGCGUUAAUCGGAAUUACUGGGCGUAAAGGGCGCGUAGGCGGCCUGACAAGUCAAAGGUGAAAUCCCUCGGCUCAACUGAGGAACUGCCUUUGAAACUGUCAGGCUUGAGGCCGGGAGGGGUAGCGGAAGUUCCCAGUGUAGCGGUGAAAUGCGCAGAUAUCAGGAGGAACACCGGUGGCGAAGGCGGGUCUCUGGGCCGAUACUGACGCUGAGGAGCGAAAGCGUGGGGAGCAACAGG